AAGAAACUAAUUCUUCUUUUCUCCAUGGCAGAGGCUGUGGCCAGAGCCCAGGUCCAGCAGGAGCCAUUCCUGGAGACCACCGAGGGCACCGGCAUCGACAUCACCUGCUCACAUCCAAAAAUCAAUACCAACGAUUGGAUCCAGUGGUACCGUCUGCUCCCGGGCCGAGGACCCGAAUUCCUGGCAGUCAUUAUGAAAGAGACCAAAGACCUGCCGGGCAUUGCAGGAACGCUGUGGGUGUCGGCAGAUCGGCGCUGGAGCGCGCUGUGGCUGGCUGUGCCCCGGCGCGGGGACGCGGCCGUGUAUUCCUGCGCGCUGGGGGCCACGGGCAGAGGAGCCGGGGCUGCGGCCGGGCACGAACCGCCGCGGGCGGGGCCACAAUCGGACCGGGACCGGCACCGGCACCAGCAGCAACGCCAACAGCGGCACCAACGCUGACAUCGGCACCUGCACCGGUGCCAGCGCCUUGUGGAGGAGAUCAUUCCCUGAAAAAUUCAUCUUGAAUGCAAAACAUUCCAGCUGA